UACAGAGGGUGCGAACGUUGCUCGGAAUUACUGGGCGUAAAGCGCGUGUAGGCGGUCCGUUAAGUUGGUAGUGAAAUCCCAUGGCUCAACCAUGGAAGUGCUGCCAAAACUGGCGGGCUGGAGUGCCGGAGAGGGUGGCGGAAUUCCCAGUGUAGAGGUGAAAUUCGUAGAUAUUGGGAGGAACACCGGUGGCGAAGGCGGCCACCUGGACGGUAACUGACGCUAAGACGCGAAAGCGUGGGGAGCAAACAGGAUUAGAUACCCUGGUAGUCCACGCUGUAAACGAUGAGCACUAGGUGUUGCGGGUAUUGACCCCUGCAGUGCCGACGCUAACGCAUUAAGUGCUCCGCCUGGGGACUACGGCCGCAAGGCUAAA
rnacentral:rRNA from 1 species